UGGGCAGGUCCGGCCGUCGCCGGAACGCUUGCGUCUGGAGGAAAGUCCGGGCUCCAUAGAGUAUGACACCGGUCAAUGGCCGGAGUUCAGGACCGUGCGGGUUCGCCCGCCGGUUCUGGACAUAGACAGCGCCACAGAGAACAUACCGCCUCUACACUGCAGCGUGAGCUGCGGCGUGUGGGUAAGGGUGAAAAGGUGGGGUAAGAGCCCACCGCUCGCGCGGCAACGCGGGAGGCAUGGCAAGCCUUGUCAGGAGCAAAGUCAAGCAGCGGAGGAUGACUCGUCCACAUCCGCGGGUAGACUGCGAGAACGAUGGGGUGACCCGUCGUCCAGAUAGAUGACGGCCCACGACAGAACCCGGCUUACGGACCUGCCUUUUUU
rnacentral:RNase_P_RNA from 1 species